rnacentral:rRNA from 1 species
CGUGUAGGCGGAGGAGCAAGUCAGAUGUGAAAUCCCGGGGCUUAACCCCGGAACUGCAUUUGAAACUGUUCCCCUUGAGUAUCGGAGAGGCAAGCGGAAUUCCUAGUGUAGCGGUGAAAUGCGUAGAUAUCCUAUAGAACACCGGAGGCGAAGGCGGAUUCCUUGAACAGCACUGACGCUGAGGCGCGAAAGUCGGGGGAGCAAACA